UGGCGGGCCUGAGAGGGUGACCGGCCACACUGGGACUGAGACACGGCCCAGACUCCUACGGGAGGCAGCAGUGGGGAAUAUUGCACAUGGGCGCAAAGCCUGAUGCAGCAACGCCGCGUGAGGGAUGACGGCCUUCGGGUUGUAAACCUCUUUUAGCAGGGAAGAAGCGAAAGUGACGGUACCUGCAGAAAAAGCACCGGCUAACUACGUGCCAGCAGCCGCGGUAAUACGUAGGGUGCAAGCGUUGUCCCGGAAUUAUUGGGCGUAAAGAGCUCGUAGGCGGUCUGUCGCGUCUGCUGUGAAAACUGGAGGCUCAACCUCUAGCCUGCAGUGCGUACGGGCAGACUAGAGUGUGGUAGGGGAGACGGGAAUUCCUCUA
rnacentral:rRNA from 1 species